AGCAGCCGCGGUAAUUCCAGCUCCAAUAGCGUAUAUUAAAGUUGCUGCAGUUAAAAAGCUCGUAGUUGAAUUUCGGGACCAUCAUGUCGGUCGUGCCUCGGUACGUACUGGCAUUGUUGGUUUCUCCCUUCUGACGAACCAUGAUGUCAUUUAUUUGGUGUCGUGGGAAAUCAGGACUGUUACUUUGAAAAAUUAGAGUGUUUAAAGCAGGCUCACGCUUGAAUGCAUUAGCAUGGAAUAAUGAAAUAGGACGUUUGAUUCUAUUUUGUUGGUUUCUAGGAUCGACGUAAUGAUUAAUAGGGAUAGUUGGGGGCAUUAGUAUUCAAUUGUCAGAGGUGAAAUUCUUGGAUUUAUUGAAGACUAACUACUGCGAAAGCAUUUGCCAAGGAUGUUUUUCAUUAAUCAAGAACGAAAGUUAGGGGAUCGAAGACGAUCAGAUACCGUCGUAGUCUUAACCAAUAAACUAUGCCGACUAGGGAUCGGAUGAUGUUAAUUUUUAAU
rnacentral:rRNA from 1 species